UCCGUAGGUGAACCUGCGGAAGGAUCAUUACCAAAAGAGCGAGAAAUCGUUUCUUACUACCUGCUCGGUGGCCCCUUGGGCCACUGGACUGGUCAACCCUUUGUGAACCAAAAAACCUUUUCGCUUCGGCAGCUGGGCCUGACCGCCUGUCAGCCUGCCGCUAGCACCCAACCAAAAAACCUGUUGUCAAAACAUUGUCUGAUAACCAAAAUUUUCGAAUGAAAAUCAAAACUUUCAACAACGGAUCUCUUGGUUCCCGCAUCGAUGAAGAACGCAGCGAAACGCGAUAGUUAAUGUGAAUUGCAGAAUUCAGUGAAUCAUCGAGUCUUUGAACGCACAUUGCGCCCAUUGGUAUUCCUUUGGGCAUGUCUGUUUGAGCGUCAUUACAACCCCUCAGCUAACGCUGGUUUUGAACCGGGACAGGUUAACACCCGCACCGGUUUUAAAGUUGUAAGCUCUGCUGGCUGCUCUGCCCCAACCGGAACAUAGUAAUCCAAAACUACUUGUUAAGGCGAGGCGAAGCGGUACGGCCUGAACAAAACCUACCCAUUUCUAAGGUUUGACCUCAGAUCAGACAAGGAUACCCGCUGAACUUAAGCAUAUCAAUAAGCGGAGGAAAAGAAACCAACAGGGAUUGCCUCAGUAACGGCGAGUGAAGCGGCAACAGCUCAAAUUUGAAAUCUGGAGCCUUCGGCUUCCGAGUUGUAAUUUGAAGAGGAUGUUUCGGUGCGGCCUGGGCCUAAGUUCCUUGGAACAGGACGUCAUGGAGGGUGAGAAUCCCGUACAUGGCUGCAGGCUUGCUUCUAUGUGAAACUCCUUCGAAGAGUCGAGUUGUUUGGGAAUGCAGCUCAAAAUGGGUGGUAAAUUUCAUCUAAAGCUAAAUAUUGGCGGGAGACCGAUAGCGCACAAGUAGAGUGAUCGAAAGAUGAAAAGCACUUUGAAAAGAGAGUUAAACAGUACGUGAAAUUGUUGAAAGGGAAACGCUUGAAGU
rnacentral:sRNA from 1 species